UCGCCGCCUGUAGUCAGCCUCCUAAGCCUGCCUCCUUUGGUCCUCGGCACCUCCUCCUUGGCUCAACUAGGGGCCGCCCCGCACCUCCAGCCCCGGCUGGCCCGCUGGGAGCUGCAGAAAUUCGCUGUCUCCCUCUAUCCCACCUGGGAGGUGAGGGGCCAAAGCUAAACAAAAGUGCAUAAAUCUUCUGGCCUGAGGUAGGUUUGAGUUGGCACUGCUUCUAGAUAAGGAGGGUAGGGCCCUCUCUCACUUGCAGAACCUGUUCUCAGUCUCAUUUUUGUGUUUGGGUCCUCUUUGUUACAGCCCCUUUCCCUUGCCCUAGAUUGUGUUGUAAAGCCACUAUAUAUCUGCCCUGGCUCUGCCCUGAUCCUGGGUUGUAGAAGGAACUCCCUCAGCUGACUCCCAAAGAUUCUGUCCCCUUGGCUAACCACCCUGCCUUGACUUUUUAGACUCCUCCUUUGCCCUCGGUCUGGAAGGCUGUUUGGGUUCAUGUCCCUGGAUCAUGCUACUCUUCCUCUGGCCUAUUCUUUCUAUCCUAUCUGGUUUCCUUGGAGCAUGCUUAUUAGGUGAGAAAGCUGAUUUUACCUGAUGGUAUACCUUGACUUCCUUUAUUGGUUCAAAAUUAGUACCUGGGGAGUAGUUAUAAUUAGAUGGCAGAUGCCACCUUCUCCAGC
rnacentral:lncRNA from 1 species